rnacentral:rRNA from 1 species
AUUAACGCUAGCGGCAGGCCUAAUACAUGCAAGUCGAACGGCAGCACGGGUAGCAAUACCUGGUGGCGAGUGGCGCACGGGUGCGUAACACGUAUGCAAUGUACCUUUAACUGGGGAAUAACCCAUCGAAAGAUGGGCUAAUACCGCAUGAUACUACGAGAGGGGCAUCCCCUUUGUAGUCAAACCUUCGGGGGUUUAAAGAUCAGCAUGCGCUCGAUUAGCUAGUUGGUGAGGGUAACGGCUCACCAAGGCGACGAUCGAUAGGGGGUCUGAGAGGAUGAUCCCCCACACUGGUACUGAGACACGGACCAGACUCCUACGGGAGGCAGCAGUAAGGAAUAUUGGACAAUGGCCGAAAGGCUGAUCCAGCCAUGCCGCGUGCAGGAUGAAGGCGCUCAGCGUUGUAAACUGCUUUUGUUCGGGAAAAAAACCCCCUUUUUCUAAAGGGGCUGAUGGUACCGAGAGAAUAAGGGACGGCUAACUUCGUGCCAGCAGCCGCGGCAAUACGAAGGUCCCAAGCGUUAUCCGGAUUUAUUGGGUUUUAAAAGGGUGCGUAGGCGGGUUGUUAAGUCAGUGGUGAAAGCUCCGAGCCUAACUCGGAAAUUGCCAUUGAUACUGACGAUCUUGAGUACAUUUGAGGAGGGCGGAAUGUGUCAUGUAGCGGUUGAAAUGCUUAGAUAUGACACAGAACACCGAUUGCGUAGGCAGCUCUCUAAACUGUAACUGACGCUGAGGCACGAAAAGCGUGGGGAGCAAACAGGAUUAGAUACCCUGGUAGUCCACGCCUUAAAACGAUGAUCACUCGAUGUGUGCGAUAUACUGUACGCGUCUGAGCGAAAGCAUUAAGUGAUCCACCUGGGGAGUACGGCCGCAAGGCUGAGACUCAAAGGAAUUGACGGGGGCCCGCACAAGCGGAGGAGCAUGUGGUUUAAAUUCGAUGAUACGCGAGGAACCUUACCAGGGCUUGAAAGUUAAGGAAUGAUGUAGAAAUAUGUCAGUCAGCAAUGACCUGAAAACUAGGUGCUGCAUGGCUGUCGUCAGCUCGUGCCGUGAGGUGUUGGGUUAAGUCCCGCAACGAGCGCAACCCCCUAUCAUUAGUUGCUAACAUUUAGUUGAGGACUCUAAUGAGACUGCCCGCGCAAGCGGUGAGGAAGGUGGGGAUGACGUCAAGUCAUCACGGCCCUUACGUCCUGGGCUACACACGUGCUACAAUGGCGGAUACAGAAGGCAGCUACACAGUAAUGUGAUGCUAAUCCCAAAAGUCCGUCUCAGUUCGGAUCGAGGUCUGCAACCCGACCUCGUGAAGCUGGAUUCGCUAGUAAUCGCGCAUCAGCCAUGGCGCGGUGAAUACGUUCCCGGGCCUUGUACACACCGCCCGUCAAGCGAUGGAAGUUGGGGGUACCUAAAGUCGGUAACCGUAAGGAGCCGCCUAGGGUAAAACUGGUGACUGGGGCU